GAUGAACGCUAGCUACAGGCUUAACACAUGCAAGUCGCGGGGCAGCAUGGGGGUUGCUUGCAAUCCCCGAUGGCGACCGGCGCACGGGUGAGUAACGCGUAUCCAACCUGCCCUUCACCACGGGAUAACCCGGCGAAAGUCGGACUAAUACCGUAUGUUGUCCAUUGACGGCAUCCGAUUUGGACGAAAGGUUUGGCGGUGAAGGAUGGGGAUGCGUCCGAUUAGCUGGACGGCGGGGUGACGGCCCACCGUGGCGACGAUCGGUAGGGGUUCUGAGAGGAAGGUUCCCCACACUGGAACUGAGACACGGUCCAGACUCCUACGGGAGGCAGCAGUGAGGAAUAUUGGUCAAUGGGCGUAAGCCUGAACCAGCCAAGUAGCGUGCAGGAUGACGGCCCUAUGGGUUGUAAACUGCUUUUAUGCGGGGAUAAAGUGGCCCACGUGUGGGUUUUUGCAGGUACCGCAUGAAUAAGAACCGGCUAAUUCCGUG
rnacentral:rRNA from 1 species